rnacentral:rRNA from 1 species
GGGUAUUAAAACCUAAAGGCAAAACAAAAGUAAAGAAAGCUUUGCUUUUUAAGGGAGGAUAAUUAAAUUUUAAUUCGCACUCCCAGGGCGUUAAUUACUCAUUGAGUAAAGGCGCACCUAGAGCGUACAUGUUGGGUCCCGAAAGAUGGUGAACUAUACCUGACCAGGAUGAAGCCAGGGGAAACUCUGGUGGAGGUCCGUAGCGAUUCUGACGUGCAAAUCGAUCGUCAGAGUUAGGUAUAGGGGCGAAAGACUAAUCGAACCAUCUAGUAGCUGGUUCCCUCCGAAGUUUCCCUCAGGAUAGCUGGUGCCAAUGAUGAUCAGAGUCUCAUCUGGUAAAGCGAAUGAUUAGAGGCCUUGGGGUUGAAACGACCUCAACCUAUUCUCAAACUUUAAAUGGAUGAGAGCCUUGGCUUUCUUAAAAA